rnacentral:ncRNA from 1 species
GGGAAUCCGACUGUCUAAUUAAAACAAAGCAUUGUGAUGGCCCUCGCGGGUGUUGACACAAUGUGAUUUCUUCCCAGUGCUCUGAAUGUCAACGUGAAGAAAGUCAAGCAAGCGCGGGUAAA